rnacentral:lncRNA from 1 species
GGGGGACAUAAGCUAAGCUAAAACACAAGUCAUCUAUGGGUAACCCUGCCGACCCACACCCAACCCCGGAGGAGGCGUACGAAAAACUCUAGGAGCCCCUAUCCUACAACCCUGAUUCUAGACCUCAAGACUUUCCUAUCAAGGGUCAUGUCCUCGGAAACCUGCAUUGUAGUCAUGUCCUGCCUAAUCACCUCUCCCCAAUACUUCUUAGGCCUCCCUCUGCCUCGCCGACCGCCAACAAUCUCCAGCCGCUCGCAGCUUACAACCCUGAUUCUAGACCUCAAGACUUUCCUAUCAAGGGUCAUGUCCUCGGAAACCUGCAUUUUAGCCAUGUAAUGCCUAAUCACCUCUCCCCAAUACUUCUUAGGCCUCCCUCUGCCUCGCCGUCCGCCAAUAAUCUCCAGCCGCUCGCAGCUCCUCACCGGGGCAUCGGGACUUCUCCUCCGCACA